rnacentral:rRNA from 1 species
UACGUAGGGUGCGAGCGUUAAUCGGAAUUACUGGGCGUAAAGCGUGCGCAGGCGGUUUUGUAAGCCAGAUGUGAAAUCCCCGGGCUUAACCUGGGAAUGGCAUUUGGGACUGCAAGGCUCGAGUGCGGCAGAGGAGACUGGAAUUCCUGGUGUAGCAGUGAAAUGCGUAGAUAUCAGGAGGAAUACCGAUGGCGAAGGCAGGUCUCUGGUACGUGACUGACGCUGAGGCGCGAAAGCCAGGGGAGCAAACGGG